CUUGUCCUGGUAGCAACAUGGGAACCGGCACCUCCCGUCUCUCUUCUGAUGCCAGGCCAAGGUUUCCCCACAUGAACACUAGCUGGGUGCAUGUACACACAGUACAUAGUACACAAAAUAGGAAUACACAUGCGAAAAAGCAAAAUGAAAAAAAUGCCAUGCUCAUGGAAGGGAUGUUCACAAGUAGAGUGGCUGAACUGAAUUCAAAAAAGGAGCUCAAACAAGAAGUGCAUUAGCUGUAUUGGAAUAAGUAAGAAAUCUUAGCUGGUGCAGGCAUUCAGUUGGCAUAGAUAAGGAAGUGACUCAGAGUAGCAGUGA